GGAAAUAGCAGGAUUUGUGGGGGUUUGUAGGAUUUCAGGCUCAGGCUUUGAGGCACUCAAGAGGACUGAGAUGCUACUAAAGUCAGAGCCUCUGUCACCAUUAAUGCCUCAAGUUGUUCUCCUUCUGCAUAGCUACAGGUGCAUGCUGGAGGCAGAAGCUGGGCUGGUGGAGCUUGGGAGCUGUGUCUGCAGCUGCCUCCAGGAACACCAACCAGUGCUGUGUGGCACCACUUUGCAAAUUGUGAAGUUUUCUCCUAUGACCAGAAGUGGAAUUUCAUCUCACUCAGCUUUCUCUUCCUUGGUGUUUGUGAUGCAGUUCCAGUGCUAUCCGUGGCAAAGCAGGAAGGUAAGAGAUAAGGGGAAUGUAUGUACAAUGUACAAUGUACAAUGUAAGAGUAAGGGGACUGUUACCAAGUCUUGUCGAAAUUAUAGAUUCCGACUUUGCAGAAAUGUAGACACAGGAAAAUGUGAAAACCCGGGAACUUUCCACCUCCUUUUUCAAAGUUAG
rnacentral:lncRNA from 1 species